rnacentral:rRNA from 1 species
CUUUACGGCCAUAUCACGAUGAAUACAGCGGUUCUCGUUCGAUCACCUAAGGUAUGGAACGUCUAGCCUAGUUAGUAAUUAGAUGGGUGACCGCUUGGGAAACGUAAGUGCUGUAAACG